UGGGGAAUAUUGGACAAUGCGGGAAACCGUGAUCCAGCAAUGCCGCGUGAGUGAUGAAGGCCUUAGGGUUGUAAAGCUCUUUUACCAGGGAUGAUAAUGACAGUACCUGGAGAAUAAGCUGCGGCUAACUCCGUGCCAGCAGCCGCGGUAAUACGGAGGGAGCUAGCGUUCUUCGGAAUUACUGGACGUAAAGCGCGCGUAGGCGGCUAUCCAAGUCAGGGGUGAAAUCGCGGGGCUCAACCGCGGAACUGCCCUUGAAACUAGGUAGCUAGAAUACUGUAGAGGUGAGUGGAAUUCCGAGUGUAGAGGUGAAAUUCGUAGAUAUUCGGAAGAACACCAGUGGCGAAGGCGACUCACUGGACAGUUAUUGACGCUGAGGUGCGAAAACGUGGGGAGCAAACAGGAUUAGAUACCCCCGUAGUCC
rnacentral:rRNA from 1 species